rnacentral:lncRNA from 1 species
AUGACCAAAAAGGAGCCAGAUGUGGCCCCCGCAAGUCCUAAGGUUGAAGCUGGGGAGAGCUCUCCAAGGCUGGGGUGUAAGGCUGGCCCCAGCUCGGAGGACACUGGAAACACCAGCCUCAUGGAUCUGGGGUGGGGUCAGGCUAGAGGCUGGGUGGCCUUUAGCAAAGCAGCCAAUGGAAACAAGCCUUCAGAACCUUCUGAGGUCAACCCAGCUGUGGAACUCAGCUUGGCCAGGUCCUGGAGCAGUGGGACUGUGAGUUUCGGCCACCCUAGUGACAGCCUUGAAUCUACCUGGGAAGGAGAGACUGAUGUCCCCGCACCCACUGCCCUGACAGAAAUCCUGCCACGGAGCCCCAGCCCCCACCUCCUACACUCAGAUGACAGAAUUGGAGAUGGUGUUGCCCAGGCGAUACCCACGGAAUUCCAGGGCACCUCAGCUCUGCCAGCCCAGAGCCCCCAGCGCGAUGCAGGUAGAUGGAGGACAGAGCCUACCAGCCUGCCCAGCUCGCAGCUCAAGGACCAAACCUGGAAGCGGACAAAGACAUCACCUAAGCCACUGCCCUCCCGAUUCACCGGCUCCAGCAGCCCCCUGAAUCCUCGGCCUAGGCCGGCCCAGGAGAGAUUGCAGCCCAGGCAGGGGGCUACUCUGGCUGGCCGUUCCUCUUCUGAUGCCCCCCAGUAUGGCCGGGGGCGUCUGAACUACCCACUCCCUGAUUUCUCCAAGGUGGGGCCCCGGGUGAGGUUCCCCAAAGAUGAGAGUUACCAACCCCCCAAGUCCAAGAGCCACAGCAGGCAGCCUCAGGGCUCUGCUGGACCUCUGAUCUUCAAGUCACCUGCCGAGAUUGUUCGAGAGGUGCUGCUGAGCCGUGGAGAGGCGUCCCUGGCCAAGGACGCAACCCCUGCCCAUCUCGUCACCAGGGUGCCCCAGGAGUUUCAGACACCUGAACAAGCCACAGAGCUGGUCCAUCAGCUCCAGGAGGACUACCACAAGCUCCUCACCAAGUAUGCCGAGGCCGAGAACACCAUCGACCAGCUGCGCCUCGGGGCCAAGGGUCCUGCCACCCUCCCAGGCAGGCCCGCCCUGCCAUACCCCAGGACCCUGCCAAGUGCUGCUCUCCAGAUCUAAAGGCUCUUCCAGGGUGUGGGUGGGGCAGCCACGGUGAGAACAUAGAAGGAGAGCUGUUCUGGGAUCCUCCUGCCUCACCCUCCCAGACUGCUGGGGUUACAGGCCCGCACCACCACGUGGAGGCCUGUUCUGGGACCAAGACUGCUCCUUGGUCCUCACACCUGCCACCCACUGGCACAUCUGUGAGAGGCGCUUCCUCAGACCUGUGGACUCCCCAGAGGUCAGAGGAGAAAGGAGCGGGCAUCAGGCCCAAACCCUUCAGCAGACUGAAAACCUGGGGACCCGGCUAGGGCUGGGGCUGCUGAAGGGCCCGGAGCAGUCAAAGAUCAGGAGGCGCUUGCAGGGGCUGCAGCCUCUCCCCCUCCCUCCUCCCUCCUCAUUUAUGGAGCCUGUCUAGGAAGGUACUGGCCUGGUACGUGGUGGGUGCCUCACCAGAGUAGGGAAGUCACUAGUGCAAAGCCCUACUGAUGCUUUUUGUGCACAAGCACAGGCGCAGGCUGCGUGGAUACCUGGGAGGGGUGGGACCUCCUCUCCUGCAGCUCCCCAGCCCAAACUCCCCAUGGGCUCCAGGGAGCCUGGCUGGUACCCCGAGCCCAGCUUGCCUGUGAGGGGCUCCUAGGAGGGAGAGGCCAGAAACAGCUCCACAGAGCCAGCUCCCUUGCCCUGCUUCCUCAGCGAAGGGACAAAGGGAUGCACAGCUGCACGCAGGCCCACACUCUGCCAGCCUCAUCUCAUUGCGGCGCAGUCGUGGGAGAGAAGGGAUAGGGCCCUGGAGUGAGGGAAGGCCGCUCCCCAGGUCCACAGGCCCAGGGGGAGCCAGGAGUCCUCACUCUGGAGGCCCUGCCUUCUGCCCUGAAGGCACAGGGGACCCCAGAAGGCAGGCGGCCCAGAUCUCAUGUCAGGAGCCCAUUCAUGAGAUGCUGCUCAGCGCCCACUGAAGGCCGGGCCCCCCUGGGAGGGAGCCAGGCCUGAGAUGGGAGAGCAGGGACAGGUGGGGACCACAGGAAGGAGACACGCUGUUCAGAGGUGCCGGGCCCUGGCCAUUGUCAUCCCAUGGGGUCCCCUGCACCUGCAGAUGCUGAGGCUGGGUCAGGUGGGGUUUGCUGUGCAUCCCACACCCCUGAGAGAGGUGAGGGUAGGACUGGACCCUGUGCUGACUGCACAGAGGGCGCUCCUCCCAGGCCUGGGUACAUAUCUGGCCCAGGGCCCUCUGGGGGACCGGCGUAGGGACAGGGCCGGUCACAGUGAUGAGAAGCAGGAAGUGAUGUUGGUUGACUGAAGUGACUUACAGCUAGGCACAGAGACAUUAGGCAACUUACCCAAGACCACUCAACAUGCAGUUACCCGAGCGGAAGCUUGGCCUCACAUUGUGGCUGCGGGGCGCCCUCUCCACAGCGCACUGCAGGAACCACACUAAAUACCUGCAGGAUCUGCAGCCAGAACGCUGACCAAGGUCCUGCCUGGGAGUACAGUGGACCCAGGUGGGAACCUAGGGCUGGACCAGGGAGCCCCUGGGGGUGAGAGGCACAGAGCAGGGAUCCCGCCAGUCAGGGGUCGCUGGUGGGCUCUGGUCUCCAUGUAGGCCUCUGGGCAGUUUAUGGUGAUGUCACCGCAUUCACUGGCCUGUCACUGC